GCUUGAUUUGACGCCUUAAAGUUGCAGGUAGUGCAUUUGUGCUGACUUCUGAAACAACUGGAGUGUGGCACUGGCAUUCCUUUGGCACUUCUUCCUUCAAGUAAGGAGAACAUGAAACGUCUCAGGUGUUUGGGGAAGAGCCAGGUAGGUUUUGUCUUUUUAUCCACGUAAUAGCAGCUUGCCAAUGAAAUAGUAAAACCUUUGCUCUCUUGAUUUCUCUCUCUUUUUAGAGUCCUUGAAUUGUGACAUCAGUAAUAGAUUAAAACCUUCAAGAAGAGUGCAAUAUUAAAUCAACUCUUCAGCAAGGAUUCCCAAUGGGCUUUUAGCCAGGUUUUGUACCAAAACCCAUCAGUGGUACAGACCUGUUAUGAAUCCUUUUUUGUUCAGGCUGUUUAUUUUGUGUGCCCAGCAGUCACAGGGGGAGGUAGGAGCAGUAAAAAAAACAACCAAACUAACAAUUGUGGGGUUUUGACUAUUGUAAUGCUUUACUCCUGAACAUUAUAUUGAGCACACUGACUGAAAGAGUUUCUUCACAGCAGACUGAAGAGGAUGAUGCAGACUCUGGCAAAGCGCAGGUCCAUGCCGGCUGGCACAGAAUAAUCAGCAUAUGGACAGUGAAACCCAGCUAAGGAGGACUGGAAUCAAGGCCUGUCAGGAGAAGAAAAGCCUUGAGACUUAACCCACAGAGUGUUAAGGUUAAUGGUGAUCAUGGAAAAGCCCUGCAAUUGUUUCAGUGGCUGAAGAACAGAAGAGAAGUCCACAAAGGCAGGGCCUGCUGCUGUCACCUGAGCAGAGUGUGUGAAC